ACUGGUACUAGAAUUGAAGAGAGAAUGACAAAGAUCAAAACAACUUGUACUUUUCCCAACCUAAUGAGACCUGAUUCAUUUUAUAGGAAGUUCUCCCUCUUCCAUUCAAACGUUGCAGCAGUGAAACGUCGCUGCCGUGAUCACUGCCGCAAAGCAGUUUGCUCCCGCAUGCUGCUUAGCCAAGGACUUGAAGCAACAGGGAAAACAGGUUUGACCUGGCAGCAUCAUUUUCCUCAUUUGACCCUGUGACUACGCCAUACUGCUUUGGGAUACGGGAUGGAGAGAAAUUGAGAAGAAAGGGGGAUAGAGAGGGACAGAAAGAAAGACACCUGUAACACUGCCUCUCUGCUCAUGAAGCUUCCCUAUUCCAGGCUGGGACUGGGAGCUUGAGCCCAAGUCCUUACACAUGGUAAUGUGUGUACUCAGCUGGGUAUGCCACCACACAGCCCCCAACUUUAAAUAUUUUCAAAGAAACUCAAUAAGAUUUUGGAUCACCUAAUGAAAAAAGGAAAAGUCUUCAAUUUUCAA